rnacentral:rRNA from 1 species
AACGAACGCUGGCGGCAGGCCUAACACAUGCAAGUCGAACGGACCCUUCGGGGUUAGUGGCGGACGGGUGAGUAACACGUGGGAACGUGCCUUUAGGUUCGGAAUAGCUCCUGGAAACGGGUGGUAAUGCCGAAUGUGCCCUUCGGGGGAAAGAUUUAUCGCCUUUAGGGCGGCCCGCGUCUGAUUAGCUAGUUGGUGAGGUAAUGGCUCACCAAGGCGACGAUCAGUAGCUGGUCUGAGAGGAUGACCAGCCACAUUGGGACUGAGACACGGCCCAAACUCCUACGGGAGGCAGCAGUGGGGAAUCUUGCGCAAUGGGCGAAAGCCUGACGCAGCCAUGCCGCGUGGAUGAUGAAGGUCUUAGGAUUGUAAAAUCCUUUCACCGGUGAAGAUAAUGACUGUAGCCGGAGAAGAAGCCCCGGCUAACUUCGUGCCAGCCGCCGCAGUAAGAC